rnacentral:rRNA from 1 species
UGAGGAAUAUUGGUCAAUGGACGAGAGUCUGAACCAGCCAUGCCGCGUGCAGGAUGAAGGUGCUAUGCAUUGUAAACUGCUUUUGUACGAGGGUAAAUGCAGGUACGUGUACCUGUUUGAAAGUAUCGUACGAAUAAGGGUCGGCUAACUCCGUGCCAGCAGCCGCGGUAAUACGGAGGACCCGAGCGUUAUCCGGAUUUAUUGGGUUUAAAGGGUGCGUAGGCGGAUUAGUAAGUUAGAGGUGAAAGCUCGAUGCUCAACAUCGAAAUUGCCUCUGAUACUGUUAGUCUAGAGUAUAGUUGCGGAAGGCGGAAUGUGUGGUGUAGCGGUGAAAUGCUUAGAUAUCACACAGAACACCGAUUGCGAAGGCAGCUUUCCAAGCUAUUACUGACGCUGAUGCACGAAAGCGUGGGGGAGCGAACAGGAUUAAUACC